rnacentral:sRNA from 1 species
AAAGAUAAAGGCGAUAUGGAGGUGUAUAUCCAACCUGGUCCAUACGUGGAUCCUUUCACGACAGUGAUCCUGGACUGGCCAGACAAUGACAAGGAGUUACAAUUCCAAUGGUCAUGUGGGCACUGCUGGGCUCAGUGGAGCGGCUGUGUUGAGAGGCAGCUGCUUCGCACAGACCAGAAGGAGCUGGUGGUUCCAGCAUCCUGCCUGCCGCCGCCUGACUCUGCUGUCACCCUGCACCUGGCUGUUCUGAGAGGCCAAGAGCUGGAGAACAGGGCAGAGUGGUGCCUCUACGUGUCUGCGCCCUGGAAACUCAGGCCUCGAGUCAGCUGUGAGAGGAACUGCAGGCCAGUUAAUGCCAGCGAAGACAUUCUGCUCAGGGUCACCAUGGGGGAGGGCUCCCCAGUGGCUAUGUUCAGCUGGUAUUUGGACAACACCCCAACAGAGCAGGCCGACUCCCUCCCGGAUGCCUGCAGACUCAGAGGAUUUUGGCCAAGGUCCUUAACUCUCCUCCAGAGCAACACCUCCAUGUUGCUGCUGAACAGCUCCUUUCUGCAGUCCUGGGGAGAGGUCAUCCGAAUCAGAGCCACAGCACUGACCAGGCAUGCCUAUGGGGAGGACACCUAUGUGAUCAGCACUCUGCCUCCCCCUGAGGUGCCUGCCUGCACUAUUGCCCCAGAGGAGGGCACCGUUCUGACAAGCUUUGCCAUCUUCUGCAACGCCUCCACAGCCCUGGGACCCCUGGAGUUCUGCUUCUGUCUGGAAUCAGGUUCCUGCCUACACUGUGGGCCUGAACCUGUCCUCCCAUCAGUGUAUCUGCCACUUGGAAAGGAGAACAAUGACUUUGUGCUGACGGUAGUUAUUUCUGCCACCAAUCGUGCAGGGGACACACAGCAGACCCAGGCCGUGGCUAAGGUGGCACUCGGAGACACAUGUGUUGAGGAUGUAGCAUUCCAGGCAGCCGUGUCAGAGAAAGUCCCCACAGCUCUGCAAGGCAAAGGUGGCCCCGAGCAGCUCCUCCAGCUGGCCAAGGCCGUGUCCUCCGUGCUGAACCAAGAGCACGAAAGCCAGGGCUCAGGACAGUCGCUGAGCAUGGAUGUCAGACAGAAGGUCAGAGAGCAAGUGCUGAGAUCACUGACUGCAAUCACCACCGGCUUGGAGGACGUGCAGAGGGUGCAGGAGCUGGCCGAGGUGCUGAGAGAGGUGACCUGCCGGAGUAAGGAACUCACACCCUCGGCCCAGUGGGAGGCCAGCUUGGCUCUACAGCAUGCCAGUGAGGCCCUGUUGACAGUGAGUGCCAAGGCCCACCCUGAGGACCAGAGGCGCCAGGCAGCCACCAGGGACCUGUUUCAGGCUGUGGGCAGUGUGCUGGAAGCUUCCCUGAGCAACAGACCAGAAGAGCCUGUGGAGGCCAGCGGCAGCCAGAUUGCCACAGUGCCGCGGCUGCUUGGAGUCGUGGGGCAUGUGCAGACCGCCCUCCUGCUGGGAAAACUGCCGGAGGGCCUUCCAGCCAUGCUGGCCACCCCUUCCAUCUCUGUGUACACAAACAGGUACAAACCAGCUGCACCAUGGGUCCCCAAGAAAGCUCAUCCCCUAACCUGGUUCAUUGCACACCCGCACUCCAAAACCUUGUGCUAGGCAGAGCUCAGGAGACCAGCCUUGGAGCUAGAGAAGUGAUGGGACCUAGAGCUGGGAAGGGCUUUCCACCGAGAGAAGGUCCCCUUGUCACCAUGUUGAGUGUUUGCACAGCACAGGAAGGGAGGCAUGGAGUGCCAAGCCCAGUGUUAGAUCCACCUGAAGGAGUCCUGAGAGACGGUCACAUGGCAGCUGUGCAGGCAAGGGGGCUGAAUGAAUAGGACCAGCCUGCUGUUAACCAUGCCCUGCGUGUGUCUGGCCAGCCACUGCUCCUUGGGCCUGCAGGGACUCAAGAUCCACUUACCUUUGGCGUGUGCGUGCACACACACAGACACACACACACACACAGAGGGCUCAUUUCUCAGUGAGCACUGACCCCAUACCUGGGAUGCUCCACACCUUCCAUUCCUCCACCUGAGAAGCAGGAGCUGGACAAUGCUGCUGGCAACACUGGGACCCCCUGCCCCAAGCCUCGGUUCCUCCUGCCAGAGUUUCCCUCUUAGAUCUCACAGACAGUUUCCCAAAGCAGUAUCCUGAUUAGAGGAACGAUCUGAAAUGGGGUCCGCAACACGUUUAGAAAGGGGCAAGGUCAAAGACCAGAAAAGAUGGGGCAGGGUUAAGACGUGACGUCAGAGGUAAGGUAGGAAGGGGAGAUAACCCUGGAGAAAAACCUGCAUCCAAGCUCAUUUAUUCAUUCAACGAAAAUACUGAUGGACUACCAGUUAUAUGCCAGGCGCUGCUGUAGACACUGAGGGUACAGCAGUAAACGAGGCUGGCAAAGCGCCACCCUCAUGGAGCCUCCAGUCUAGCUGCCUCUUGUGCUGCUUCUGCUGAAACAAACAUGCUGAACUACCUAUAGGGAUCAAAACACACCCCCACUCUGAUGGUGAAGCUGGGCUCCCAGUAGCGCAGGAGGUGUGGGGUCUCCCUCGAACACUGACUUUCUUCUCCCUCCCCUGCCACCUCUGUUCUCACCUUCUGGACAGAAUACAACCCUGGAGUUGGCAAGGUUCCUCCCUGCGCAUUGAUGCUGCAGACUCUGCAACCUUCACGCUGCCCGCUGCCUCCUCCCUCGGCUCUCUGGAGGACGGCCAGGAGCCUGUGGAUAUAAAGAUGAUGAGUUUCCCAAAGAGCCCCUUUCCAGCCCAAAGCCACUUUGAUGUCAGCGGGACUGUCGGUGGCCUCCGUGUGACCAGCCCUGGUGGUCAGCUCAUACCUAUGAAGAAUCUGUCGGAGAAUAUCGAGCAUACUUGGGCUUCCUGUGGAUGCUACUGCUCAUGGCCUACGGGCAGAGGGACCCCAGCGCCUACCACCUCAACAGACACCUUGAGCACAGCUUCACCAGGGGCUUUUCAGGUGUGCUGGGCUUCCGAGAGUUCUUUGAGUGGGCCAACACCACCCUCGUGAGCAACCUGUAUGGUCACCCCCCAGGUAAGUCCUGCAGCCCUGGGGCUGUGUCAGCCUCCUUGUGGCUUCUCCUGGCUAGGAACAGACGUGGGGUACUGUCAGCAUCAGCCUCAUAAGAAAACCAGGCCGAGUGUGGUGGCUCACACCUGUAAUCCUAGCACUUUGGGAGGCUGAGGCGGGAGGAUUGCUUGAGGCCAGGAAUUCGAGACCAGCCUGGCAACAUGGCAAGACCCUGCCUCUUUGAAAAAUACAAAAAUUAGCCGGAUGUGAUGCCUCAUGCCUGUAGUCCCUGCAACUCAGGAGGCUGAGGUGGGAGGAUUGCUUAAGCCCAGGAGGCAGAGCCUGCAGUGAGCCAAAAUUGCACCACUGCACUCCAGCCUGGGAGACAGAACAAGACUCUGUCUU